rnacentral:rRNA from 1 species
UACGAAGGGGGCUAGCGUUGCUCGGAAUUACUGGGCGUAAAGGGAGCGUAGGCGGAUAGUUCAGUCCGAGGUGAAAGCCCAGGGCUCAACCUUGGAACUGCCUUUGAUACUGGCUAUCUUGAGUUUGGGAGAGGUAUGUGGAACUCCGAGUGUAGAGGUGAAAUUCGUAGAUAUUCGGAAGAACACCAGUGGCGAAGGCGACAUACUGGCCCAAUACUGACGCUGAGGCUCGAAAGCGUGGGGAGCAAACAGG